rnacentral:rRNA from 1 species
CGUAGGGCGAAGCGUUGUCCGGAAUUAUUGGGCGUAAAGCGCGCGCAGGCGGUCAUUAAGUCCGGCGUAUAAGUGCGGGCUCAACCUCGUAAGGCACCGGAAACUGGAAGACUUGAGUGCAGAAGAGGAGAGUGGAAUUCCACAUGUAGCGGUGGAAUGCGUAGAGAUGUGGAGGAACACCAGUGGCGAAGGCGACUCUCUGGACUGAAACUGACGCUGAGGCGCGAAAGCGUGGGAGCAAACAGGAUU